CAGAGCUGGUGGAGAGACAGAGAGCAUACCACUGGAUAAAUUCAUAGACAUGGAAUUCCUGGACCAAAUGGUCACCAAUUGUUUGCGCAUCAUUUCUUGAGUAAUCCAACCUUCUUCCACUGAUCUGAAAUGGCAACGACUCUUCUCCUAUUAGACAGGGUGUAGCUUUCCACAGGUCGGCCAUUUUCUCUUUACUCAAGAUGGUUACAUUCCGUAAUAGUCUCCCCACCUUCUUGCAGCUUCUGGAAGCAUACUAAAGCAUCAUGUUUGUGCUUAUGCGUUUCAAAAAUUCCAUGUACAUACAGUUUAGGCCAGUGGUUUUGAAACAAAAUUCUUUUCAUUUUAAAUAUUUAAAAAUUGUAUUUUUGUUGCAUGCUUGAUACAAAUUAAAGCUGAGGAAUCCAAAUAUAUAAAAAUCAC